rnacentral:rRNA from 1 species
AAGUCUUUACGGAGAAAGCUUUAUGCACCAUUGGAUGAGCCUGCACUUGAUUAGUUUGUUGGUAGGGUAAUGGCCUACCAAGACUGUGAUCAAUAGCUGAUUUGAGAGGAUGAUCAGCCACAUUGGGACUGAGACACGGCCCAAACUCCUACGGGAGGCAGCAGUGGGGAAUCUUGCACAAUGGAGGAAACUCUGAUGCAGCGAUGCCGCGUGAGUGAAGAAGGCCUUUGGGUUGUAAAGCUCUUUCGUCGGGGAAGAAAAUGACUGUAC